rnacentral:misc_RNA from 1 species
UGAACCAGCCGCUACGAUGCAUCACUAUUAUCCGCAAGAAGACAUAGAUCGUGUUGAGUACUUGAUGUCAGGAAAUCCACGGAGCUAUCCGGCUCGGUCUCCUGGGGUCGCUUCCACGCCAACCGUGACCAGGCUUCCGCCACCCCAACAGCAGGUGACAGUCGGUUCCGUGGGUGGUGGCCUGGGUGCGGGUGCUGGAAAUGGUGGUACAGGCACGGUGGGCGCCCAAGGUCAAGCCAUGGUAAUGCCAGGAUUUCCACUUCGUGCCGCAGCGGUGCCCCAUUAUUCACCUUAUUCGCCGUCACGUUUUCACAUCGACAAACGUUGCCAGCAUAGAUGCUCCUGGAAAUGUUUCUCGAUCGCCUUGAUCCUUUUGGCUGUUGCGCUGACAGCGAUGUUGGCUUACUUCGCCACAGUGAGUUCGAUGCGACCGAUAGACAGUACAAAGUGUGUGGUGGUCCAAGACGUGAAAGCUGUCACUCACGAGAACGCGCAUAUUCACGACCCGAUAUCAACGCAAAUACCCACGGAAGAAUCACUGCCAACGAGCACAGCCGAACACUCGAGCGCAUCGGACAGCGCCGGGGACCAACAGAGCGAUCCUCAGAUCCAGCAGUCUGCACAACAAUGGCCGGCCGUGCUCGAGCUUCAAGCGUACAACGUUGCCCACUCGGCCGUCAUAUCGCCUUACCACUUCUGGAACACGGAGUUCCGGAACAAGCAGCCUGCUUUCAUCAGGUUGAACCUGACAUUGCCAUGGGGUGCGAACUUCGCCGUGUACGGCAGGCGGAACGUGGCUCCGAGCGUCACGCAGUACGAUUUCGUGGAGUUCGUGAAGGGUGGCAGGGUUGAUCAUCGAUUGAAGAGGGACACCACCUCGGAAGCGGUCAGUUUCAUGAAAACGUCGGCUCAGGAGACUCGCUCGAACAUGGACAAUCAGUCGUAUCAACAUGUGCUGAUCAAGAGGACCAUCGUCGAACCGAUGAUGGUCAACGUCAGCUUGCUUCAGUAUUUAGACACGGGUCGUUGGUUCCUUUCGGUGUACAAUGAUGAACUGCAGCCAUACAAGGUUACCCUGGUCGUCACAGAAGCCGAAGGAGUCUCGACUACUUGCCCCAACGACUGCUCGGGACGAGGAUCGUGUUAUCUUGGGAAGUGCGACUGUAUCGACGGGUAUCAGGGAGCCGAUUGCAGCAAAAGCGUUUGCCCGGUGUUGUGUUCCUCGCACGGACAAUACGGCGGUGGUAUGUGCCACUGCGAAGAUGGCUGGAAGGGUGCCGAAUGCGAUAUACCAUUAGGUGACUGCCAAGUUCCUGAUUGCAAUCAACAUGGACAGUGCGUCCGAGGAUCCUGUGUCUGUAAUCCUGGCUGGAAAGGUGUCUUUUGCGAUGAACCGGACUGUGCCGAUCCAAACUGCAGCGGUCACGGAGCCUGUGUAUCCGGUAAAUGUUACUGCAAAGCCGGUUGGCAGGGCGAAAGAUGCAACCAGGUCGACCAGCAGGUAUACCAAUGUCUGCCUCGUUGCUCGGAUCACGGCACGUACGACCUGGAAUCCGCAACCUGUAUCUGCGAGGGACAUUGGACCGGGGUGGAUUGUUCACAGCCGAGUUGUGGCCUCAAUUGCGGACCUCAUGGAACCUGCGAACAGGGUCUCUGCAAAUGCAACGAUGAUUGGACUGGCAACAAGUGCGAUCAGAAACCGUGCGAUCCUCGAUGCGCUGAACAUGGCCAAUGCAAAAAUGGCACCUGUGUCUGCAGUCAAGGAUGGAACGGAAGACAUUGCACGCUGCCUGGAUGCGAGAACGGGUGCAGUCGACACGGGUUGUGCAAUCUACAAGAUGGCGAAUACAGCUGCAGGUGCUCGGAUGGCUGGGCGGGUAGAGAUUGCAGCAUACGUCUCGAAAUGGAGUGUAAUGACUUUAUUGACAACGAUCAGGAUGGCAUGAUGGACUGUUCUGACAGCGAGUGUUGCUCGCACGCAGCUUGCGCAGAGCAUAUCAUGUGCCUUACUAGUAAUAAUCCCGUGGACGUCCUUCUUCGAAAACAGCCGCCCAGCGUCACGGCGUCCUUUUACCAACGCGUGAAAUUCCUCGUUGAGGAGAACAGCGUACAAAGCUACGCUCAUAUGAACGAGUACACCGAAAGUACGUUCUGGAGUUCCUUUACACCGCGUCGAGUUGCGGUGAUGCGAGGCCAAGUUGUAACCGAACAAGGAAUUGGAAUAGUAGGCAUCAGAGUAUCCGUGGACAGAGACCCUCGAUUUGGAUUCACCUUGACCAGAGCUGAUGGAUGGUUCGACGUGUUGGUCAACGGUGGUGGUGCAGUGACGCUUCAGUUCCAACGUAGCCCCUUCAAACCCCUUACAAGGACGGUGUUCGUGCCAUGGAAUCAAAUAGUCGUUCUACCACCCGUAGUGAUGACCCUUAACGAGGAAGGCGAAUCCCAUAAAUCCAACCAACCCCCGAGCCCGGCUGUCGGCUUCCCAGGGAUAUCGAUGGGACUAUUUAGCGAGCAUGGUCCUUGCCUGGAGCACGAUCACGAGCUGCUGCGACCGAUCAUCGUCAGCACUUGGAUGCCUGAAAAAGUUGGCGGUCUUCCUGGCAAGAGUUUGGUGUUCGCCGAGAGUCAGAUCGUCCAGGAGAGCAUCGCCAUUCCCGGCUCGAAUCUACACUUGAUGUAUCAAAGCAGCCAAGCAGCUGGUUAUCUAUCGACGGUGAGAAUGCAACUGACCGGACCGUUCAUUCCGAAAUCGCUGACACACGUGCACGUCCACGUGGAGAUCGAGGGCUCCCUUCACACGAAAACCUACGAGGCGGACCCGAAUCUGACACACACGUUCGCCUGGAAUAAACGGAACGUUUACAAGCAGAAGGUGUACGGCGUGGCGCAGGCUAGAAUUUCAAUUGGUUAUCAGCAUUCCACUUGUCCGUCCGUGAUAUGGGAGACACAGACGGCCACUCUGCAGGGUUUCGAUGUGGACAUCUCUGACAUCGGUGGCUGGGGACUGGAUAUCCAUCAUCAUUACAACUUUCACGAGGGUAUCCUGCAAAAAGGCGACGGCACCACGUUGCAUUUCAAACAAUAUCCUCGAACGGUUAAAGUGGUCAUGGGUACUGGACUACAGAGGAACUUGGUCUGUCAGGAUUGCGAUGGUUUGGCCAAAGACGCUAGGUUGUUGACUCCGGUUGCUCUUACGAGUGGUCCGGACGGAAGCAUCUACGUUGGCGAUUUCAAUCUCGUUCGUAGAAUCACACCGGAAGGAAACGUAUAUACCGUCCUAACGUUGAGCGCGACUCAAGUAGCUUAUCAGUACUAUCUCUGCGUUUCACCGGCCGAUGGUCAUCUAUAUAUCAGCGAUCCCGAGAAACAUCAAAUAUUGAAGGCCUUAUCAUUGAAGAACGUUCAGCAUCCCAGCAUCAACAUCGAACCCGUGGUUGGAAGCGGAGAAAGGUGCAUUCCUGGCGAUGAAAGUCACUGUGGAGACGAAGGACCAGCCAUUCGCGCCAAACUAGCUCAUCCAAAAGGAAUCGCCAUUGCUGCUGACAAGACCAUGUACAUCGCCGAUGGAAGGAACAUCCGAGCGGUUGAUCCGAACGGUACCAUUCACACUCUGGUAGGCCACCAUGGACACCAUAAUCAUUGGUCACCGGCUCCGUGUGUGGGUGCCAUACCAGCUCAUCAGGCCCAACUGCAAUGGCCAACGGGAUUGACCCUGAGUCCUCUGGACGGAUCUCUGCACUUCAUCGACGACAGACUAGUGCUGAAGCUCACGAGCGAUCUGAAAGUCCGAGUGGUAGCCGGCACACCUCUUCACUGCACCAGCAACGGGAACAACGAUAACGAUCUGACGAAGGUGAACUCGUCGCUUACCACCAGUCCCAAAAAGUCUGACGAGGUUCUGGGCUCUGUGUUGGCUGUCAGCUUCAGUCCAACUGGCGAGCUAUACAUCGCGGAGAGCGAUUCACACCGUGUCAACUCGAUCAAGAUCGUGGACAGCUCUGGAAAAAUGUCUCACUUCGCUGGACAGCAACAGGAGAGACUGCGUGGGCAGUGCGAGUGCAACAACACGACUCCGAGCACAAAAGACCUGGAGAGCUGCGCAUGUACGGACGACACGAGCAGCACGGAGACUUUGUUGUCAUCGAAUGCGAAGUUCACUGCUAUAUCUGCUCUAGCGGUUUCGCCGGACGGUGUGUUGCAUGUGGCAGACCAAGGCAGCUUGCACAUCCUCGCUCUUCAGCCUUAUCUUCCGAACCACGACGAAAGCGGAGAAUUCCAUAUACCGUUCCCGCCUUCGAACGAGGUGUACGUGUUCAAUCGCUACGGUCAACACAUCUCUACGAAGGACCUGACGUCAGGGAAGACACGAUACUCCUUCCUAUAUAGCAAGAACACUAGCUUUGGAAAGUUAUCGACGGUCACAGACAGUGCUGGCAAUAAGAUUCAGUUCCUGAGGGAUUAUAGCAGCGUCGUCAGUUCCAUAGAAAACACGCAAGAUCAUAAGUCAGAGUUGAAGAUCUCCGCCGUUGGGUUCUUAGAGAAGCUGUCUGAACGAGGCAGGGCUGAAAUCGCGCUUGCUUACGAUGGCUCAACUGGCUUGCUUACCAGUCGAUCAGGGGGUGGCGAAACAUACAUUUAUAAUUAUGACGGCCUGGGUCGAGUGACCGAUGUCAUUCUACCUACCGGUGAAAAAUUGAAGUUAUCUUCCGAUCUGUCGGACGACGAAGGACUGUUGGUUAAGGUGUCAGCCCCGCUUCAAGCGUUAUCUAAGGGAGAUAAGCAGAGAACUGUGGAAUUCAAGAUGAAGAACGAGAGAUCUAAAAUACUAACAAUAACCGAUGGUAAUUUUUUUAUUAUUAGAUCCCAGAUAUAUAACAAACUUCACAGAUGUUUAACAGACUAUCUAUUUCCAGGCAUGAAGAUCAAGAAAGCGAUAGCUUUCACAAACAGCAGCUUAGAAGUCCUUCUUCCUGGCGGUGGUAGAGUCUUAAGCGCAGCUACCACGAAACAUCCUCUGCUAGAAGCCGCGUUGCCAGUGGAAGCCGAAAUGUUGCCCAUGUGGAGCUACCAAUUGAUGUCACUUGGAGAGUUGACCAACACGAUGAGCACCGCUUAUAACCUGGUCGGCGACGUCAGCCACUUCCAGCAAACUCUCAACAGAGAAAUCUGGGUGAACGACACUCGAGUGAUAGGUGUGGAAUUCGAGCAAGCGUUUAGACGCGAGACCUUUUAUGAUAAAUCAAGGAAUCCUCUUCUGACGGUCACCUUUGAUCCUGCUGGACUACCUUUGACCUGGCAGCCUCACGAGCAAGGCUACAAUCUCAGCAUCACCUAUGACAGGUUUAACCGGAUAGAGAGCUGGAAAUGGGGUGGAUCUGAUGAGUCCUAUGGCUACGAUCGACAUGGACAGUUAGCCGAGGUGACGAACAGUCAGGAUGGCACUAAAUAUUACACCUACAACGACUUCAAUAUCCUUUCCAACAUCACUCUUGCCAGCGGCAGACACUUUUCUCUGCAGUACGACGACGAUGGUGGGCUUCGUCACAUUAUUCUUCCAUCGGGAACAAAACACUCGUUCUCCUGUCAAGCUUCGUUAGGCUUCCUUCGAGUGACGUACACACCGCCCGGCAACAGUAGAGCGUACCUACAGCACUAUAGCCACGAUGGAAACCUGCUACAGACCGUGUUCCCUGGUGACGGUGCACGUAUUGUGUACAGAUACCAUUCUUCGGGACAGCUGGCUGAAGUCGUACACGGUGACGGGAAAAGCGAGAUCAGAUACACGGAGAGCGGUUUGCCCUCCGAAGUGAUACAUUCUGAACGAGACGUGGAAUACAAAUGGGACUAUCAGUACAGUGCUGGUCUGCUGGUCGAAGAACGAAUUGAUUUCGGGGCUAAAACUGGUCUAAGCAAUGCUAAGUUCACGUUCGAGUACGAUUCAAAUUUCAGACUGGUGAAUGUUCAAGGCAGAAUAGGUGGACAGACACUACCGCCACACACCAUGGCUUACAGUCCGCGGACAGGAAUGUUGGAGCAAAUAGGUCACUUCAAAGUGACCAAGCCACAAAUAAACGAAACCACCGUGUUCGAUGGCACAGCACUGUUCUCUAGAAUCACGGACGACAGGUUCCUCGAGACCCAAGUAACGUUAACGAUUCACCAACUGGAAGUGUUCAGGAUGGAGUUCACCCACGAUUCUCAAGGUCGAAUCAAUCAGACCAGAACGUACACCCGUAAUGUCGCCGUCAACACCUACACCAAUGUGAAGAACUAUACUUGGGAUUGUGACGGUCAAUUGACCGGUGUCGAGGCUCAAGAACCAUGGGGUUUCAAGUACGAUGCUAAUGGUAACAUGUUAUCGCUUACAUAUCGAGGAAACCCCAUACCCAUGGAGUACAACAACAUGGACAGGAUCGUCAAGUUUGGCGACGGUAGCUACAAGUACGAUAACAGAGGACAGGUUGUUCAAAAUGCUCGGGAAGAGAGGUACAGUUACAACACCAAAGGACUUCUGGUUAGAGCCACCAAACAAGGAAGAUUCGACGUGCGAUAUUAUUACGAUCAUCUCGAUCGUCUUGCAACCAGGAAGGACAACUAUGGAAACGUUACACAGUUCUUUUACAAUAAUCAAAAGCGGCCUCACGAAGUGAGCCAGAUAUACAGUCCGCGAGAUGGUAAACUGAUGUCAUUGGUGUACGAUGAUAGGGGACAUCUCAUUUACGCUCAAGUCUAUCGGCACAAAUAUUACAUCGCCACCGAUCAGUGUGGCACUCCAAUUAUGGUCUUCAGUCAAUACGGUGAGGGCAUCAGGGAGCUUAUGCGGUCGCCCUUCGGACAUAUCGUUUACGAUUCGAAUCCCUAUUUGUAUCUCCCUAUUGAUUUUUGCGGAGGACUCUUGGAUCAGGUAACGUCAUUGGUGCACAUGCCCUACGGUAAAAUCUACGAUCCGCUCAUAGGCCAGUGGAUGUCUCCUUUGUGGGAGAACGUACUGGACAGAGUGAACACUCCGACGCAUCUGAAUCUGUACAGAUUCAAUGGAAACGAUCCUAUCGAUGCUAGGCACACGGACCGAACGAAUCAUCCAACAGAUCACAUAUCAUGGCUGUCGCACCUGGGCUAUGACCUGAAGAGCCUCGCCCCGCAGUUGUUCCCCGACGAGCUUCCGGACAGUCUGGUUCCUCCCUCCCUCGCUCCAGAAACAUCGAUAUUCGGUAAAAAGAAGAGGACCAGAAAUCUCGGCGUUCAGUCCGGUUUCCUGGCGCACAUCGCGCAAAGGCAUUCGGGCGACGCCGUCAGUUUAUCGGCACCGCCUCGUUCGGCGCUGAAGAAGGACACCAGUGACCUGAUCCCUAGUCGUCUGGGCGCAGCCUCGGAUCCACCGUUCGGGAAAGGUAUCCUGGUGUCCAGAACCGCGGAUGGUCAGGCCGUGGUAUCCAGCGUACCCACCGCGAAUGCCAUCUACGGAGACGUGUUCACCUCUGUGUUCAACCGGUCGUACUUCCUUCCGUUCACGUUCGUGGUACACAGCGCCCAACAGGACGCGUUCUACUUCGUGAAGGAGGAGACCUGGAGGGCCAGCGAGGACCGCGGUCAAUUAAAGCGUCUCGGUGGCCAGGUGAACACCACGUUCCACGAGAGCGAGAACGGCAGCGGCAGCAGCUCGCUGAUCGACGUGAAGAUUCACGGUGCCAGCUACGUGGUGAACCUCCGUUACGGCACCACCGCCGAAAAAGAGAAACAAAGACUGCUACAUCACGCUAAGGCGACCGCCAUUCGCAAAGCGUGGCACAGAGAACGCGAAGCCUUGAAGGCUAACACUCCAACGGCCAUCGAGUGGAUGGUAGCCGAGCAGGACGAGAUACUGAAGUCGGGGUCCGCGUCGAAUUACGAGGGCGAGUACAUCCACGACGCUCAGCUUUAUCCGGAGCUGGCCGAGGAUCCGUACAACAUCAGGUUCGUGAAGAAGGUCGACCCGUCGAGCAAGAAACGACGCAGAAGGAGAGGCGUCCACACUUGUAAACUCUGGUGGCUGGACAAGAUCUGCUAGAUCCGGCGCGCGUCUGCAGCUAGCUUGUCCUCCUCUCCUGACAUGCCAGGAGAAUUGUCCAAAUCGAAGCAACAGGAAUUUUGAAAGGACGCGGAGCGUGGAAGAGGAGAAUGAUCCGGAAGAGACAGGAUCAGGCCGAGGCAUGGCCGUGGCGUCCGUAUACACGCGUAAUAAACGUACUGAACACUAUCAAAAACAAAAAAAAAGUUUUAUACCAAAGUCUAUUUGUGUAUUUCGAAGAUGCCAAAAACAUUUAACGUUAUAUCGAUUAUAUUGUACCGCGAUAGGGUGUAGUGUGUAAGAAUUUCGAAGGGAACCGUGCGACGUUUGGUAUAUUGCCUACGAGGAUGCUGUCCGCGAAAUCGUGACCACCGGUAAUCGAUUCGUGGAAGGAUACGUGGAACGUUCCGGGAAGCUUGUCUCUCGUCCCGUUAUCGAUCAGGAGGGUCCUUGAAGAGGUUCCUGAGAGUGGAUGAACUUUACCCGGACUAGGUUUACGCAGAGGUGGAUUUCGAGGGAAGAGACUGACACGCCGAACGGAACGCGAUCGUGAAGGUAUAAAAGUGAGACUACGAAGCGCCACCACAUCGAUCCAACGUAACACGCGACGGAGGAGCAACAGAGGAUAAGGACAAAGGAAGGAAGAUGAUCGUCGAUGAUGUACCAUGCGAGGAACCGUGUGUGCCCACCAGUCUAUCCGCGCGAUAUGCUUUAGUCGUACUUCGAUAACGAGGACGAGGAGCCUAUAAAAAUUACUCUGAGAAUAGGUACGCUAAUUCGAAUCGCGAGAGGUGGAAGGAACACGCGCGUAUCUCAACAAUGAAUGGCCCUGUGACUGACACGAUGAACGGCGAGCGUCCAAAUUGUGGUAGGAUCAGGACUCCAAGAUGCCAGCAAGAGAAUCCGAAGAAGUAGGCUCGAUUUCCAGUGUCCCGACGCCUAUUCACGGAUUCCUGCAAUACGUUGGUGGUCAAAGAUCGAUGAAGGAGAAAAAGAAGUCGAAUGAUCGGCAUCCGGAAUAUUGUAGGACUGGGACUUCAGAGUCCCAGAAGACGUGGGCUGCUACGCGGAAGACUGAAGCUCGAUUUCCAGUGUCUGGCGCCUAUUUCUCACGGAUUCCUGCGGGGAAACGUGGAGCAGACGAUCAGGCGUGUUCUUCGAAUCGAUAUUCCGAAUUCAGGUCGAAGAAAGAGAGAGAGGCGUUACUAAGGUGUAUUAUAAAUGUGGUGCUUUCUCGCGCGAUGAAAAAUAAAAACAAGUCGGUGCAACAACGUUGAUUAACGGUGAGCGUGAAUAAUUAGAGGACAUCGGAACACACUGCAUAGAGCGUGGCUAAGUAUUUUUAACGAUGGAUGUGUCCUAACCAAAAAUUCCCCCUUUUUAGCGCUAGCGUCCAUUUCCUCGAGAAUUGAUGUCGCGUAUGCGUACGAAUUGUUGUUCGAAAGGGAAACGUUAUUGUCGUCGCGAGCGAGGGACGAAGCCGAUCAUGAUCGAGACAGGUCCCUCGAGCGACAGACGGUGACGGAUAAAACUAAAAAGUUGACGCGAUGAGCGAGUGAGAGAAGAGAGCGAGUGUGAGAGAGAAUGGAUAAGAAACUCCAUUAUCGGUAAUAAUACGUAUACACGAUAUUAUUGCAUAUUUGUGCUUGCUGGAUAUGAAUAACGGAACGUUAACUAUGUUUCUUCACCGAAUACUAAGUGUGUAUAUCUAAAUUUAAUGCUCGUCAGUACCGAUCGUUUUCGCUGUGUACUGAACGCCAUACCAUACAUCUACGUACGUAAGAAUAUUGUUUAGCACCGAUAUCUUUCACCUAACCACACACCUCUGCGGUAUUAUCCGUCUAAGUGGCACGACUUUGGAUCAGUGAGUUGUCAAUUACAGAAUAACUUAUUUAUUCGUCAAAGUUUGUUACAAUUUUAAAAGAAAAAGAAUGUAGGAAUGAUUCAAAUUUGAGGUACUGCUGAGGGAACUCAUUCAAGAUAUUAACUAUAGUUAUUAUUAAUAACUUACAAUACGCUAAAGUUUAAUAAUUGAUUCAGCAGGCAGUACUAUACUCACAUUUCUCGAAAUGAACUACAGUACUUUCCUCCAAUUUUUUCACCCAGAAAAUAUAACAUCUUAACUAAGUAAUCGGUACAUGAAUCUAGAUACGGAAAUUUUGAUUUACAAUUAACAAAGUAAAAUACUUGAAGAAAAUGUUAGAACGUGCCAGUUAGAGAGGCAAUACUGUACCUGUCCAUUACACGUCCCGUUUCUUUCAAACGAAACCACAGAUCCUUUCUAUCCACGAAAUCACAAUUUCUUUCACCUCAAUCGCCCCGACACGUUACGUUUUUCCUCGUUUUUUCAAAUGUUUGUAUACUCGCCAUUGAAUAUUUUGCGACGGCUUUAGAAAACGGCGGCCGUUCACGGAUAGAUAGUCGCACAACGACAUUACUGUCUGGAUAGAUGAGAAAACGAGAAAAAUUAAAAAAGAAUUAUCUUAUUACACUGUGUGUAUAAAAGAAUAAAAAAUUAUAUAUAUAGAAAGAGAGGAUAAGAGAGAGAGAGAGAGAAAUUAUAUAGGAAAGCUUCGUAACGUAUUUUUGACUCGAGCGAGUGUUUAGAGCAACGUAAAACACCGAUCCUUAAAAGUGGUCCAAACGAGGUUAAAAAUGGUGUUUUUUUUUUUUAAAUGCACACGAACAAUUUAAAUCGCGAUUCUUUCUUCGAAAAACGAGAGCGUCCGUUCUUUCGCGUUUCCUUCCGAUUUAUGCUGCCAAUGUUGUUCGAAUUUCCGCGAAAGGACGAGACGUUCGUAGGACGAAAAGGACCUCGAGAUCGUUGGUGAACGAACCACAGCUCUUAGACACGUGGACAUCUGAACCAGACCUUUCCAAAAAACGAUUUCCAGAGUCAAACGAUAUCCUUUCUUUUUCCAUGGUGCUGGUUGACAUGGCGUUGAUCACUUCUGACACAUUGUAUAAAUCUUUCGAAGUUUAUUGUAUGAAAUUCAACUGUGAAAAUACGAUAAUUUAAUGCAACAUUUAGACGAACAUGGCGUUAGCAUAACAUGUUUCGAUUAAGGGGUAACAAUUCGUGUUAUUGGAGCGAUUACAACUGUUGAAAGUUUUCUGAAUAAAUCGGCCAUUUCAUUUGCAACAA